UCAGUGAACAUCUCCACGCUGACCCAGGUGCGCCUGCAAAGCCCUUGCCAGUUUAAGGCCCAAAUGCCCGACCAACAGCUCUUUCCCUUUGCUGUUAUUAAUCCGAUAGCCCGACGAGAAGCACUGGCAGUUCCGCGGCCAAGUCGCACCCCAACAGCCUCCACGGGUUCUCUCGGAAACCUUCAGGGAACGUCAGGGCCACAAGGUUUCUUUGAUCCUAUCAUCCCUCUUCGGCCCCAGAACACCCCCAGUCAGCUGCAACUUGCCGCUCAAACACGACAUGAGGCUGACGAAUGGGUGGCAGCCAUUCAGAGCAGAAUAUCGGCAUCGUCACUUGACAUCGAAGGUCUAAACCUUGAAGGUUGUUCAUCGUACGUGCCGAUUGAGAGUGCCAGUGAUCAUCACGGCGCAAUCUCACAAACCUUGCAACUUUUAGACGAGCUACUCAGAGAAACGCCUGUCGUUAUGGAGACGAAUGCCAAUACAGGCAAUGGCGGCAAUGCUAAGGAACCUGUCGCCAAUGCGACCAUGUGCGCUGGGGUGGUCGGCGGUCAGGGCGCCGCUGCUUCGGCGGUCGGAGCAGAUGUGGCGCCACAGUUGCAAGCUAAAGCACAGCUGCAGAGCACCGUUUCGACGCCGGCCGGUGACGACAUAGCUGCAGGUGCCAAACCAAAAUUGCACACAUCUUGGUCGGAGGAAGAACGGGAACAGCAUGCCAGCAUAAUGGCUCAUCAGCAGGCUCUUCGAAGGGCUACGCACUUGCGACAGAGGAAGAUAUCCACUGAACUCAAGCUUGAGACGAUCCAAAAGCAGCUGAGGCGGACAAAAAAAGCACAACCAAAAGCGAUCCCCGAGGAAGGAAAUGAUCGCUCAGCGUUCGAAGAACAGCUUCAGGAAUUGACAGAAACUCUCAAGACCCUCGAGGGCAAUCUUGGUCAAACAGAACUAGAGGCCCAGAAGACCAAACGCAAUUGGGACUCGAAAAUGGAAGAGGUCUACAAACACAUAUACGACCCGGCCACCAUUCUCAAUAUAGAUCAAUGGGCGGAGCGUAAGAAUACGAGCGGUCGAGCUUCGACCCGACGCAUCGGGGGUGGAUCGCUGCGCGUGCGCGCCGCCAAGUUCAUUCAGAGCCCCCGGCCAAGGAAGAAGCCCCACGACACCAACACCAACGGUGGCAGUAAGGAUGGCAGCGACAAGCACGGUGGCGGUGGAGGCUCAAACGUGGAAGAUUCAGACACGGAUGAGAAGAGCUCGGGAGCGCGCACGUUAGGCGCAAAACAAGGACGAAGGGGUACGUUUCGGGUGUUUGGCAGUCUUCUCGAUUCAAAAAGAGGCCGCUUCGGGGGCAGCGGGAAACAACAGCAACCAUACGGAAGUGGUCAAGGGCAACAGCAGCAGGGAAAAGAUGGACAUGUGACCAAUAACUUUAGGCGGGAAUAUCUGAUGCACGCAUCAUCACCGGUGUCGCGUCUGAGGGCACGCAGCAGAUGGCGGAAAUCACCGUAGCACAUUGUUGAGAUUCCGUCGAGUGCUUCGUUAGUGCUGCUUAUGUUACGAAGAGAUCGAUCGACGCCUUCGCGCGUCUCCGCCUUUAAUUAUGGAGCUAUUGUGCCUUGCAAUAGGUGGUCCUAAUGGACAAAGAAGAUGUUUUCGAGUUCUUAUCAAUACUGCGUAGCGUCUGUGUUAUCGGUACCCUGGAUCUUAGAGCAAAACUGUGCAGUGCGCCAGCCCAGAAUCGAGGUUGCAGUGAGGCCUCAAGGAGUUACCGGAAACGCUUUUUCCGUCAACGCGCACUUUUGCGGGAAAAUUACGAUUCUGCCACCAGCUCUAUCGACGGAGACCAUUUUUCCUGGAUUUGUUUCUAAGCAGGUGCAGACAUCUCUGUGGACUAUCCUCUAGGCGACAUUUAAAAGUUAUUCGUUUGCGCUGGUUAAAGUCGUGGUCUUUACAGUUGGAACACUCUUCCGAUCGUGUCUGACCGAUCCUCAAGCCGUUGACCCCCCCGGAAAGGUAGCGAACGGUAUGCGGCCAUUGCUUAUGUCACGUCAUAAAUAACUACAGUGAAGCACUGGCCAAAGUGCGACUGUGCGCCGUCGCGUCUUGUCCCUCAGAAUUCUGCAUUGUAUAGUGGGCCGGCUAUAAAUGUUGAGGAGAUGCUACACCGCCUUCCCCAUAAGAACUCGGUAAUCAUCAUUGGCUAUUACAUUAGAGAGGUUUUAUAUGUCUUUAAAGGACUGAUUGAAGCCGUUCACAUUAGUGGCAUAUGCUAGUUAUAGCUACCGCUCCUGCAAAGUCGAAGGCGAUGUACCUGUGGUAGACACCGGUGCGUACAGACGUACACACAUAGUAUGUUGCAGUUAAAAUGAGAGAGAUGAAAUAAUUUUUUUCUGAGAGGGAGAGUUUGGGAGGAAAUUUGAUAAACAGAAAAGGAUAACGGCAAAUCUGACGAAUGACGAACAAGGGCACUAGGAAAAGCGGCGCCUUAGCAUUGCUACGCAUGUAAUUAGGCUUUUUAAGCAUUGUGAUGCGCUCGAUGUGACACUAAUUUGUCGGAUAUAGUAUAAGCGAUGUGGGCAAACAGUUCACGAAGGUCAACACAGAACCAAACGUUGCCCUCUGCGAGUAUUUUACACAUUUUCCGCACUGCUCGUCCCAAGGCGGAACGAUACCGACCGUAGGAAAAUCAGUCUAACCCUUUCUUGCCAGAUGGAUUCCCCACUUUAUUAGCCCUCACUCAGUUCAAGAAUAUGGAUCAUACAUAUCGAAACGGUGCAUAUUUCUAACAACUAUUUCACAAACCAAGCAAAUCAGCCGCAUAUUUAUCUAUCGAAGAAAAAACCGACUUUUUGUAAAAAAAAGUAUUGCAAAAUAUAAGAAUAUGAACCGCGAAGAUCUAUUAUGACGCAUCUAGGUGAAAAUCAUAAUUCGUAAAUUCGGAAAGGGUGAGGCGUUAAAAAUGACUUGUCAUCGCCCAUUUUGUAGUGGGUAGAGAACCAACGCCUCUAGCAACAUAAAUUUUUCACUAAAUCCGGACCGUUAUCGAGAAAAUCGUCAAGAAACGUCAAGUUACUGAGAAAGUUACAAGAAACUGAAUUCUCUUUCAUCAUAACAGGAAGUUCCUCUCGAAAAAAAAGUAUUCACUAAGCAAACAGUAUGGACUAGAUAUGCCGAAAUGAUUCAUAUGGCAUCAAUCAUUUCGUUACUCCUCUUCCUUUGCGAAAGAAAGUACUCGCAUUCUAUAAAGAAGUUAACUGAGAUGAACAAUAUUUCAUGAACUAUAAACCACCUCGGUGACAAUCAUUACUUUAAUAUUAAAUAAUAAAAAUAUGGGAAACUGGAUACCAUCCUUUGAAUGUUAUAUUGCGCCCAUCUUGUAGAGUCUGGGCAAAAAACAACUUCCCGCAUCAAUAACACGUUCUUAACGGUUGUCAUUGUUGUUGUUAACUGCAAAAACGAUUAAUGGGUUCAGAUGAUCAUUAUACUUUACGGAAAGAAACCCAUUCCUCGUACGGAUUUUCUCAAGAAAGUUUCGCGAUCCACCAUAAAUCAGUCCAAUCCGAUCGGUCUUAAAUGGUCGAUUUGAGUCAAAUAGGCGCACAAACCAAUACGCGAACACAGAGUAUUAGUAGAAGACUGAAAGCGAUUUGUGGGCUUUAUCUCAAGACGGUUCUCCUAUAGAGCUAAUCCUGAGCAAACUUUUCGACGCGGCAAAAAUUACCGCCUGAGAAAAAGUUCAUUUGUACAUUUGAUGGUAUAUAUACCCGGACCAUGCUUAUGGCCGCUUCAUAAGCGUUAGUGUGGCGUUCUUUUCAAACGUGGAAAAUCAGAAUGAUGAACUUGCUGCUAUCGGCUUACGCUUACCCCGCCAACCAAAUUAAGACUGGUUACUAUAAGAUAAUGUAAACUGGGGGAAAGAAUUUGUCCAGUCGACCACGUCUUCCGUGCAGAUUUUUCUCUAUGUGAAACUCUAUCGAUUUGGAAAAAUACAGCCCAUACUAAAGGAUCGUUUUGGGUCCGAUACUCAAACAAAUGAGAUACUAGGUCAAUAUAUACGACUGAGCAAUCUCGAAAACAGCUUGAGGAAUGAUCACGUUUUUCCGAUCUACGCACUGAGACAACACAAUGACGGAAGGAUCACGCUGGAAGAAUGGAGUGUUUUAGAAGUUAUGACAGUGCAGCUUCUGACCGUUCUUGAACACAAACAACAACAGUAUGGCAAUUAGCACAGCGGCUGUUGUCGAACUUACUAAUUUUUCCCCUAUCAUACCUACGUUCAAAUCAGUUCUAGAGAGAAGCACCAAAAGAAAGGUUGUAUCUAGAAACGUAGGCAGCACCGUUGCACAUCACUGGAAUAAAAAUCAGUCGGAAAGGACAGCUAUCUCGCUGAUCCUUAAACGUUAGAAGUUUGCCCCACAACAAGCAAAAUACGUCUAAAAAGGUACUCACAAAAGCAAUGACCGAAACGCUACUUCUCUCAUUGGAAGGGGCUGUUUCAAGGACAAAUUAGGGAGAACUUGAAAAUAAGUCCGUGCAUUUCAAGUAGUGAGGAACCCAUGAUAGGCACUUUUUCCUGUAGUUAACAAGGAAUUUCUACUCCGAAUAAAAUUGGGCCCCUAGAACGUACACUGAGAGAAAGAACCCCAAAAACUUCUUGGUUCCAACAUACACAUCAAGAGUUCUAUUCCAGCUAAAUCUUAGGGCUCAAGCUUGCUAUCAAUGUUAGCCGCGCGUACGGGCCGGGUCUUUUUGUUUGGGUUUGAAAUGUAGUGACCUUCAGCUCUCUUUCAUCUCUUUAAUCGUAGACAUUCAAGGUACACUGUCAACCUAACUAUUAUACAAAGUUCGUUAAUAAUUAAACAAAACUCAUUGUAGGCCACUAUUGUGGCUAGUUAUCAACGACGCUCAAAAAGUAUUCAUUGUGCUUAAAGAUUAUAAUAUCGCAAAAUGAGGAUGAAAUCAGUGGGUCAGGACAUUAUAUGGUUCUUUUUGUUGCACCAUCAUAUACUAUAGCGAUUCAGUACCUUUAAUUACAUCUACAGAACAUUUACUUUUGCAUGUUAGUAGAUAACCAAAUAAUAAAAGUGUUUAGCACAUUUUACUGUUCUUAGCGUCAGCUAUAGAAACAGUAGAUAUCAUGCUACUGUUGUCGAGAUCAUUCGGAUCUACAUUAUUUUCACGCGAUUCUGAACCGGCUGCGCUUAUAUUAAACCUGAAUUACCGUCAUUUACAGAUAUAUGUGCAUACACACGUGGCUCGUAGAAUCCGCAAAGCUGUUUGACUUAUGCCCUUUUGGUUCCUCUGUUCAGGCACAACCCUGUAUCUACAUCAGGUUUUCCAAGAACGCACCUGGUACCAAAUCUCUAUUCCCUUCUGCAAAACCAUCGUAAAAUUAAAUUUUCUCGUACUCAUAUUUCUGCCCAUCAUGAUGAAUCUAAACCGAAGAAUCUGUCUAGUUAUUUCUAGAACUGUUUAUCCAUUGCCCAUAAAGCUGUCCGCGAGAUUUCUUUUCCCGGAACUUCUCUUCAUGAUUCCAAUCACGUGUAUUCAUAUACCUUUAACAAAUAUCCACUACAGACCUUCUGAAUGGAAUAACGUGGAUCCAUAUGUCAUAUAGGGAUCUGAUGUCAGAUUUGAGCUUUUCUUCCGUGUCUAUCUUUUUUAUUGACAACAUUUCUUUUAAUUAUCUUUCGCGCAUGUUUUCUGAUGUUACAGUGGCUUGAAGCAAAAAGCAGAAGCCACGUCUAGUUCGAUGGCUGAGCAAGACAAGGAAAGGGGUGAAAAACAGGACUCGAAUAGUGAC